CCAUGUGGAUAGGGAUUUUGUGUAUCUUGUUCACUGCUGUAUACCCAGACUUAGGCCUAGAGUGGAAAACAAGACAGAUAAAGUCCCUGUACUCAUGAAGCUUCAAUAAAGAAGAAAGAAUCUCAGAGAUGCUAAGAAGUGUUUGCCAUCCAGGUGUGGGCGUUAACUAAUUCUCACCAAUGAAAUGUGAGCAGAAGUAGUGUGUGCCACUUCCAAGGCAAGAUUUUAAAGAAGCCUCUCACUGUUGUGGCCUCUCCCGUUGCAGAGCACAGGCUCCGUACGCGCAGGCUCAGCGGCCAUGACUCACGAGCCCAACUGCUCCGCGGCAUGUGGGAUCUUCCCGGACCGGGGCACGCCUCCUUCUCUGCAAUCCUUCUUUGAUUAUGUGGACUACCUUAAGUAAAUAUCCUUUCUAGACUAGUAGAACUUGACUUUUGGUUGGCUGUACACUAAGGACUCCAGCUGAUACAUAAUUAUGUUCUCCUUAGAAGUUUUGAUAGCACCUUCAUAUUUUCUUACUGUUUUCUUUGUUUGUCUUUUGUUUGGGAUGCUUCCCGACCAGGGAUCAAACCCACGCCCCCUACAGUGGAAGCACAGAUUCUUAACCACUGGACCACCAGGGAAGUCCCUUACUUUCUCAACAUUACAAUGCUGUGAUGUCUAGAUAAAGCAUAUAUUAUUAUUAUAUUAUACAGAUGCCAAAACUGAAUCACAACACAAUUAAAUGUUUUAUCCAAGGCUGCAAAGUUAAAAACGGCAAAUACAUCACUUUAAUCGUGGUUCUUAUUUUAAGAAACAAUUUCCACUAUGCCAACUUUCUAAUAUCAAGUUUGGGAAGUAUAUAGUGAGACAAAAACACGACAUCCAUGUAUGCUUAAGGCUGUGAAAAUGUUUAUAAGAAAAUACCUAAACACAAGCUCCCUGCACUCACUUGUGGUUUUCUCUGCCACCCAUCCAAAAACACAUGUUCACCAUGUUUUCCUUUCCCUCUGUCAUCAUGACAAACAAUGUUCCAGAUAGUGGCUACUCUCUCAAUCUGAGUCCUGGAGUGGAUGAUAGCCAGUGUCAGGCUGUAACUGAUGUGCUCUAGCACACUGCUUUAGGAUGUAAGGGGAACAUGGCAUAUGCUACAUAGUUCUGCACUGCUGGGCCUCUUGAAAACACUAGGGGUUCUUGUAGGCUUUACUAAAGCUCCAAGAUAGGAAUUUCUGUUUUAACAUCCCAUUUAUACUGUUUUCUUUUUCAUUUUUUUUUCUUACGGGUAUAUAGUUGCUUUACAAUGUUGUCUUAGUUUCAGGUGUAUGGCAAAGUGAGUUAUACAUAUAUAAAUACAUAUCCACUCUUUUUUGGAUCCUUUUCCCAUAUAGGCUCAUUACAAAGUACUGAGUAGAGUUCCCUGUGCUAUACAGUAGGUCCUUAUUAGUUAUCUAUUUUAUAUAUAGUAGUGUGUAUAUGUCAAUCCAAUCUCCCAAUUAAUCACUCCCUCGCCUUACCCCCUAGUAACCAUAGUGUGUUUUUAUAUCUGUAACUAUUUCUGUUUUGUAGAUAAGUUCAUUUGU